rnacentral:lncRNA from 1 species
UGGUAGACAGGAAGUGGUUAUAAACAAUUUGAGUUGGAGUGUACUUUUAAAUAUGUUUUGCAACAUUAUCACAAAGAACCAUAGCCCCAAGUUUACGGAUGUUAUUAUAUAACAAUCGAAGUCUACGACGGAAGUCUGUGUUUGCUGAAAGGGGUUUCAAUGCUUAAUAGAUUUUACUAAAUAAACACAAGAAUAGCCGUAGCACCUGACAGAAAAUAUUAUUAUAUGCAAUUCCACAUGAACAAAAAACAUGGCUGUACCUUACACUUUUAAUAGGGCUUUUUGCAAAUUUCAUAAGCUUUAGUUUGACCAGGCUAUGGAUUGGAUUUUUUCAUUUCGAGCAUUCGAGGCGAGCACGCUUCAAUUGUGGGUCCAAUUACAUUCAAUUCUAACAUACACACGUGUUAUUCUAAAAAUUGUAUAUAUCUUAUUUUUACAUAAUUAUAGUUAUUAAAAAACUGGUUAUUAUCGUGAUAUAUGGACUGUCCAUAGAACAGUGGUAUUGACAAAGACAGCGAUGACAGCUUAGCUGUAGACGAGGUCAUUAUAGCUGUCGCACUAAAUACCAC